UUGGCAGCAGAACCUCCAGGUAUGAUUCACUCCUGGCACUGCCUUCUCUCUUCCCAGAUAGACCAGCCCUGGUAAACAGAAAGUCAGGGAGUGUGUGAUGAGGAGUGGCUACCAGUAAAGGAGGUGAGAGUUGAUGGGAGGGCCUUUGAUACCUUGAUGAAGUCCUGGGUUGAAGACACCAGUCUAGAAAACUGCCUGAGGCAUGUGGGGAGAAGCAUAAAGAUGCUGAGGAUCUGGAGGGGCUUGUGCACUACAGAGCCUGAAGCUGAGCGAGUUAGGUGACGUUUAUCUUGAAAUGCUGACCUUUGAGUAAAAGAAGGUGGGCUUGCACAUAUCUUUUGUGAUGAAGGUAAGAAGAGACCUUGUUUUCUGAAGCUGCUCUCAGACUAAUCUUAGUUGAAGUUCAAAGUAUAGAAGGGAGG
rnacentral:lncRNA from 1 species